AUCGCGUUCACUUUUUUUCUACAUGAGGAGGCUUUGUUUUAUAAAUUAUAAUAAAGGAAAAAGUGGUUCCAAAGUUGUUUUUUUUUGUUAUUACUUUGUUAAUAAUGGUGUACAAGUGUUCUGCUCCUGGAUGAAAGCAGGCCUAUGACGGCAUUACUAAGGAUCCGGAUGUGAGCUUUCACAAAUUCCCAUGAAGGGCUCCAAAGUUCUAACCAAAUGGCCAUCCCAAGAGAGAUACAAUUUACUAAAUACCACAGCGAAUAAUAAUUUCUAAAAUCUUAUCCCUGAAAGUAGAUCAAUAUGAUAUGCAAAUUGAGAAACUUAUGGGAAAAUCUCCCUGCUAUAUAACUUUCUCUAGAGGAUCUUCAACACCAGCAAGGAAUAGUAUUUAUAUUGUCGGAUAUAUAUCACAAUCAUUAUCCAAAAGUCUGCACAUCUUUAAAAAUAUAUAACUAUAACCUUAAAUCAGGAAAAUAAUAAAACUAUAUUCCUAAAAUAUCGAUAAACUUUUCAACGUUGUGGUGAAGAAUUCUGCUUUGAUUUCUGAAGAUAAAAUAUUCGCCAUCAUCAAUACAACAACAAAAACAUUGCCACACUGCAUUCGAACUAACAGAUGAGUUCUAAUAUUACAUUUGUAUUAUUAUAUACGAAAUAAAAACUAUUUUUAUACUUAUGUAAAAAAAAA
rnacentral:lncRNA from 1 species